ACUCAAAGGAAUUGACGGGGGCCCGCACAAGCGGUGGAGCAUGUGGUUCAAUUCGACGCAACGCGAAGAACCUUACCUGGGCUAGACAACAGCGGACCGUCCUGGAAACAGGAUCUUCCCUUCGGGGACCGCUGGUUCAGGUGCUGCAUGGCUGUCGUCAGCUCGUGCCGUGAGGUGUUGGGUUAAGUCCCGCAACGAGCGCAACCCUCGUACUUAGUUGCCACCAUUCAGUUGGGCACUCUAAGUAGACUGCCGGCGUUAAGCCGGAGGAAGGUGGGGACGACGUCAAGUCAUCAUGGCCCUUAUGUCCAGGGCCACACACGUGCUACAAUGGGCGGUACAAAGGGUCGCUAACCUGCGAGGGGGAGCUAAUCCCAAAAAGCCGCUCUCAGUUCGGAUUGGAGUCUGCAACUCGACUCCAUGAAGCUGGAAUCGCUAGUAAUCGCGGAUCAGCACGCCGCGGUGAAUACGUUCCCGGGCCUUGUACACACCGCCCGU
rnacentral:rRNA from 1 species